rnacentral:rRNA from 1 species
UACAGAGGGGGCAAGCGUUGUUCGGAAUUACUGGGCGUAAAGGGCGCGUAGGCGGCCUUCUAAGUCGAACGUGAAAUCCCCGGGCUCAACCCGGGAACUGCGUCCGAGACUGAAAGGCUUGAAUCCGGGAGAGGGAUGUGGAAUUCCAGGUGUAGCGGUGAAAUGCGUAGAUAUCAGGAGGAACACCGGUGGCGAAGGCGGUUCUCUGGGCAUUACCUGACGCUGAGGAGCGAAAGUGUGGGGAGCGAACAGG